AACCUUAUCAUUUANAUGAAGGAGAAGUCGUAACAAGGUUUCCGUAGGUGAACCUGCGGAAGGAUCAUUG
rnacentral:rRNA from 1 species